rnacentral:rRNA from 1 species
AAAUUGAAGAGUUUGAUCAUGGCUCAGAUUGAACGCUGGCGGCAGGCCUAACACAUGCAAGUCGAACGGUAACAGGAAUCAGCUUGCUGAUUCGCUGACGAGUGGCGGACGGGUGAGUAAUGUCUGGGAAACUGCCUGAUGGAGGGGGAUAACUACUGGAAACGGUAGCUAAUACCGCAUAACGUCGCAAGACCAAAGAGGGGACCUU